ensembl:lncRNA
ACACCUGGAUAUUACAGCUAGGCAAUGGGAAUGAAAUGCGGAUAGCAGGGCAAGAUUACUGUGAUCUGAUCCACCAGUGUUAUCUUUCACAUCUGUGCAAUUUGAAUAAGUAAAUCCAGCCUUCCUCUUUCAAUGCAGGCAGUUCUUUUCAUUUUUCUCUAAAUAAUGUUACCUCAAAGCUAAGCAUGAAGCAAUCAUUAUCAAAAAUCUCAAAGCCUGGGAGACAGACAAAACAAUUUUUUUCUGAACCGUAGUUUAAAGGCCAAAUGCACAUUUCUGUUUACCUGCAGAAAUCCCCUGAAGGCAUACUCCCCUCCACACCGAGCAGAUACACCACUACAAGAGAGCAAUUACUGUUAGAGCAUCCCUCAUCCUGGUGAAAUACAGCUUAAGAGACAGCAAGAACAUUUGUCUUGCCUGAGCCUUCAGUAGAGUGUUUCUAUGCAAGCACAUCUACUUUUCAUUCCUGAGAGUUCACUUGUGGUGAGUUACUGUGGCUCAGGUGAUGAGUGACUCAGCCUCAAUGGAGAAACAGCGUGGGUCAGCUGAGUCCAUCCAACAUCUCACUGCCACUGCUGUAUCCUGCACCCCCUGUUCCACUCUUGCACGCGUGCCCUUGCUUACACUGCACCAGCUCCACUGCUUGUUGGGAGCUUCUAAGAAUUGAUACAGACCAGUAAUUCAGCAGUAGAUUAUCUCAGAAAAUGAAACUGAAUUUUCUGCCAGGAUAAGAGCAAAGUUCACAUGGUAAAAAGUUUUACAAGCCACCGAGCCAGCACAAGACUGUCCACCUGAGAGCAAAGGAAGGGGUAGGGAGGACAAACUGCAGGGGAAUCACCCUCCUUUAGCACCUGUAAGACUCAGAUACAAUGCACAGCUUCACCUUUGGAAUCAUGGAGAUAGCGGCUCUUGUCACUACAAAGGCAUCAUGUGGAGUGUCAAGGAGGGAAUGGUGAAAAUUCAUAAGAGUAAACACUGGGAGAAAUAAGAAAAAUGAUAUUUUGCAUGAAUAUUGCUGGAAAACACACUUUGAUGUGAUCAGAUGCUUCGUAGUAGCUCUUCACCAGCUAUAUCAGGAAACAGCAAACGGGCUGAAGCAAAGACUUCACACGAUGGGAUUUCCUUGUGGUAUUUUCUACUGCUAUUUUGAAGAAAAAUGAUGAAAAACAAGGAAUACUUGAAGAAGCUUCAGUUUACAUGUGUUUGAGGCUCCAUGUGCCUGCAAAGUAUAAGGUAAAAGCAUGUGCAAACUGGAAAAAGAAUUUUAAAAAGCAGUGCUCAAAAACACCAGAAACUGAGCUGUAUAAGUACAUGCCUUAGACUAGGCACAGUCACAGGCAAGAAGGAAAGGAGAUGUCUCAAGAUUUAGCUGCCCUUAGAAAUUUAGGUACAAGACUAAUUCCUUCUCCAUCUCCAUCUUCACCUCUCUCGCAUAGUAUUUUACAACUUUGUCUAAACAUUAUGAAGAUGCCCUACGUUCUUUGCUAGCUGAAGAGCUUCUCAGUGGCCUAAAAGCAGCAUUUCCUACAACAAAACCCAAAUCUCCAGCAGUUUUCCUUAGCAUUUCUGGACCUAUUCUGAUAGUGUCAAACAUAUACAUCAUAUACAAAUACAUGCAUAAAAAUAUAGCUAUAAUAUGUAUCAAAUAAGUAUGCAAAUAUAUAAAUAUCAUUUGAUCU